rnacentral:lncRNA from 1 species
CGCGCGGUUGCUGCGGUGACGCGCGGGACGGGCCCCGGCGCCGCGCCCGCCGACCCGGAGCGCUCGCAGGUCCUGCUCAUGCCCCAGCUCAGGAGGUGCCGUGGCUGGAAGGAGCCUUGGAGAACCUUGGAGCCUCUGGACAGGGCCAGCAGCGGGUACAGUCCUCUGGCUGUGUUCUUUAACUGUAUUUUGGAUGGGAUUACCUUUUACUUCAUUGCCAUCUAUAGAAACUGAUGAAUAUUUUUAGGUCCUGAUGGCUGAGAAGGCUCCAGAGCAGCCAUGGUGUGCUGCUUUGUGCUUGGCUGGCACCAGAGUUGCAUGUAGCAGCAGAGGAGAGGAAGGAAAAAGGAGCUGAAGGGCAUGGCUGCAAAGAAGUGAACGAGCUGAAUAAUGUAGAAGGAAUUUGGGAAACUCGAGGGAAAAGUGAGGAACCUAACAUGGAGGUUUGGCAAUGUGAAGUUGGGCUUGUCCAUCACCAAUGCAUAGAAAAUCAGAGAAGUUGCAGCAUCCUUCACUGUUUUGUCUGUCCUUUGGGUUAC